rnacentral:rRNA from 1 species
GAUGAACGCUAGCGGCAGGCCUAACACAUGCAAGUCGAGCGCGUAGCAAUACGAGCGGCAGACGGGUGAGUAACGCGUGGGAAUCUACCGAGCCCUAAGGAAUAGCUCCGGGAAACUGGAAUUAAUACCUUAUACGCCCUUCGGGGGAAAGAUUUAUCGGGGUUUGAUGAGCCCGCGUUGGAUUAGCUAGUUGGUGGGGUAAAGGCCUACCAAGGCGACGAUCCAUAGCUGGUCUGAGAGGAUGAUCAGCCACAUUGGGACUGAGACACGGCCCAAACUCCUACGGGAGGCAGCAGUGGGGAAUAUUGGACAAUGGGCGCAAGCCUGAUCCAGCCAUGCCGCGUGAGUGAUGAAGGCCCUAGGGUUGUAAAGCUCUUUCACCGGUGAAGAUAAUGACUGUAGCCGGAGAAGAAGCCCCGGCUAACUUCGUGCCAGCAGCCGCCGUAAGAC